UACGUAGGGCGCAAGCGUUGUCCGGAAUUAUUGGGCGUAAAGAGCUCGUAGGCGGUUUGUCGCGUCGGAUGUGAAAGCCCGGGGCUUAACCCCGGGUCUGCAGUCGAUACGGGCAGGCUAGAGUUCGGUAGGGGAGAUCGGAAUUCCUGGUGUAGCGGUGAAAUGCGCAGAUAUCAGGAGGAACACCGGUGGCGAAGGCGGAUCUCUGGGCCGAUACUGACGCUGAGGAGCGAAAGCGUGGGGAGCGAACAGG
rnacentral:rRNA from 1 species